UUUUAAGCCUAGGGUGCUUCUGCAUAAUUUUUUAUUGCAACACAUACAAAAGGGUUGUGUCUUAGGUUUGUCUUUUCGAGUCAUUAUCCCCUUGCAAAAUUUAAUGUAACUUUAAAAAGCUUGGAUCAGAAGCAGCCUUCUUAUCUCUGAUCCACUGACUCACAGAGGCUGCUUUGCUAACAGGCGCUUUGCUGCAGUUUCACAUUGUUUUUACUAAAAAAGAGUGUUGUCCUCUACGAAACUUAAUAUAACUUUCACUUGUAUGUGUUAAAAAACAGGCAAAGAAGCAGCCGCCUUAUCUCUGAUUUACUGGUUUACAGAGGCUGUUUUUGCUGACAGCUGCUCUGCUGCAAAAGCCUGCUGUCCUUACUAAAAAAUGACCAGUGCUAGCCUAAACCUAGGGAAAAACUUUUAUAAACAGGUUUUCUGUGUUUUUAAGCCUGGGUUGUUUCUGCGGACUUGCAUGUUAUUGAAACACCUGUGCCUGAGGGGCUAAAUGAAGGUUAUGGGUCUUCUGGAUUGGUUCAGGAAAAUGAAUUCUAUGACGCUGCUGUAAAACCACCUCUGAUUGGGCCGAUCCAAAGGAAUUGAUAACAAGUGUGAGAGGGUCUGAACCAGAAAAGUUGCCUCAUUCUACAGAAAGACUUCAAAGGGUUAAACCAGAAAAGCUGCCUCAUUUACAAAAAGACUGCA